ACAGACACAGGGGAGGGCACAGUGGUGACGGGAACAGGACUGUCGUCAUACAGCUGCACGCCGAGCGGAGCAGCAGAAAGAGCCAAGGACGGGGAUUUGCCCAGGCGCGGCAGAAGGAGCACACAGUCCCCAGAACCGCUAGACAAUACAUUUCUACCGUUUUCCGUUCCUUGCUUUGUGGUACUUGAUCACAGCAGCUCUAAGAAACUAAUCCGAAUGGUUAGGAGGAAGCAGAAUACCUACGGUUCCCGCUACGGUUGCUAGAGCUUGAAUGAACGGCAUCCACAGCUGUCUUCUCUUUACCUUCUACCAAAGCUCACAGCUCAGGAGGACUGUAGGACAGCAUUCUGUCUAACGAGAUUUUGUGACUAUGUGGGCUGCCUAGAAGAACAAGCUGAUGGAAUCUAUGUGAGGAGACGAUAUGAAGUCAGUCAUGUCAUCUCCAAGGCGUCACUGCUCUCAAAGGACAAAAGUAGUGACCCUUCCCAUGGCAGCCCUGCAAAUGCUUAAGGAAGUCCACCCUACUCUUCAUCACACAUCUGUAUAGUGGGGAGUUGUUCCAGCUGUGACCUUGAAGCACCACCCCCCAGUGAGGUAGCAGGGUUUUGGAUGCUGGAGACAGAGCAGGCAAAAGAACAGCAUGGGACUGCGCUUCAACCUUCCAGAACCCUGCAAUAAUUCCCCUGUUCUGGACAGUGAGUGUUCCUUCUCUGAUAAAUUCCUUUGCCCUUUAAGCAGACUCCAUGGAUUGCUAGCAAUAUCUGGACCUGAUAAUACAUCUGUUAGUCAGUUUAUGCACAGACAGUAAAGCAUAAUUGUGCUGUUUUUCUGCUUCUCAGUUAAAACCCAUAUGACACUUGACAAAAAUUCAAGUGUAACAAAGAAACAAGAGGCAAUAACCGCGGAGGUGAAACUGAAAUUGAAUACCAAGGGAGGAACCAAGGAGGGGCUGGCGGUGGGAACCUGAAGAACCGCUGCCCUAAGAGAGGCUCUGGGUGGGAAUGUGGCUAGGAGAAGCCGGUAAAGGCGUAUUGAUGGGAGUGAGGAAGGUGGUUUCCGAAAGAAUGAAGAUGCCCCAGAGGAAGUAACGUCUGCCAAAAACUUCACAUUAAAAGAAUUUUCGAAGAUAUUUUACAACAUUGAAAGUGCACAGAACAAAAUGUUGGAAGCUUAUCCAAACUUAGAAAUGAAUAUGACAAUUUGUCAGGUGUAGAGAAGGUGCUUGCUUCAGAUGGUAAGUUAUCUGAUGAGACUAUGAAAGUUCUGAUCAAAUUACUCUUGAUAAGCUAUUUGCAAAGAAAUAAAACCCAAUUUUGAAUGUUUCUCAUGUUUCAAGU